rnacentral:rRNA from 1 species
CUUAGUGGCGGACGGGUGAGUAACGCGUGGGUAACCUGCCUUACACUGGGGAUAACACUUAGAAAUAGGUGCUAAUACCGCAUAAGCGCACGAAGCCGCAUGGAUUUGUGUGAAAAACUCCGGUGGUGUAAGAUGGACCCGCGUCUGAUUAGCUUGUUGGCGGGGUAACGGCCCACCAAGGCGACGAUCAGUAGCCGGCCUGAGAGGGUGGACGGCCACAUUGGGACUGAGACACGGCCCAAACUCCUACGGAAGGCAGCAG